rnacentral:tRNA from 1 species
GAGGGUAUAGCUCAAGUGGUAGAGCGCAUGCUCAGCAAGCGUGAGGUCCUGGGUUCCAUCCCCAGAACCUUGG